CGAGCGGACAGAGNGGAUUUUGCUCCCGGAUGUUAGNGGGGGAGGGGGGAUAAACACGGGGGUAACCUGCCUGUAAAAUGGGGUUACCUCCGGGAAACCGGACUUAAUACCGGAUAGUUCCUUGAACCGCAUGGUUCAGGGAUGAAAGACGGUUUCGGCUGUCACUUACAGAUGGACCCGCGGCGCAUUAGCUAGUUGGUGGGGUAAUGGCUCACCAAGGCGACGAUGCGUAGCCGACCUGAGAGGGUGAUCGGCCACACUGGGACUGAGACACGGCCCAGACUCCUACGGGAGGCAGCAGUGGGGAAUCUUCCGCAAUGGACGAAAGUCUGACGGAGCACCCCCGCGUGAGUGAUGAAGGUUUUCGGAUCGUAAAGCUCUGUUGUUAGGGAAGAACAAGUGCGAGAGUAACUGCUCGCACCUUGACGGUACCUAACCAGAAAGCCACGGCUAACUACGUGCCAGCAGCCGCGGUAAUACGUAGGUGGCAAGCGUUGUCCGGAAUUAUUGGGCGUAAAGGGCUCGCAGGCGGUUUCUUAAGUCUGAUGUGAAAGCCCCCGGCUCAACCGGGGAGGGUCAUUGGAAACUGGGAAACUUGAGUGCAGAAGAGGAGAGUGGAAUUCCACGUGUAGCGGUGAAAUGCGUAGAGAUGUGGAGGAACACCAGUGGCGAAUGCGACUCUCUGGUCUGUAACUGACGCUGAGGAGCGAA
rnacentral:rRNA from 1 species